rnacentral:rRNA from 1 species
ACGGACGCUGGCGGCGUGCCUAAUCCAUGCAAGUUGAGCGCUGAAGGUUGGUACUUGUACCAACUGGAUGAGCAGCGAACGGGUGAGUAACGCGUGGGGAAUCUGCCUUUGAGCGGGGGACAACAUUUGGAAACGAAUGCUAAUACCGCAUAAAAACUUUAAACACAAGUUUUAAGUUUGAAAGAUGCAAUUGCAUCACUCAAAGAUGAUCCCGCGUUGUAUUAGCUAGUUGGUGAGGUAAAGGCUCACCAAGGCGAUGAUACAUAGCCGACCUGAGAGGGUGAUCGGCCACAUUGGGACUGAGACACGGCCCAAACUCCUACGGGAGGCAGCAGUAGGGAAUCUUCGGCAAUGGACGAAAGUCUGACCGAGCAACGCCGCGUGAGUGAAGAAGGUUUUCGGAUCGUAAAACUCUGUUGGUAGAGAAGAACGUUGGUGAGAGUGGAAAGCUCAUCAAGUGACGGUAACUACCCAGAAAGGGACGGCUAACUACGUG